rnacentral:rRNA from 1 species
GAUGAACGCUGGCGGCGUGCCUAAUACAUGCCAGUCGAGCGAACGGACGAGAAGCUUGCUUCUCUGAUGUUAGCGGCGGACGGGUGAGUAACACGUGGAUAACCUACCUAUAAGACUGGGAUAACUUCGGGAAACCGUAGCUAAUACCGGAUAAUAUUUUGAACCGCAUGGUUCAAAAGUGAAAGACGGUCUUGCUGUCACUUAUAGAUGGAUCCGCGCUGCAUUAGCUAGUUGGUAAGGUAACGGCUUACCAAGGCAACGAUGCAUAACCGACCUGAGAGGGUGAUCGGCCACACUGGAACUGAGACACGGUCCAGACUCCUACGGGAGGCAGCAGUAGGGAAUCUUCCGCAAUGGGCGAAAGCCUGACGGAGCAACGCCGCGUGAGUGAUGAAGGUCUUCGGAUCGUAAAACUCUGUUAUUAGGGAAGAACAUAUGUGUAAGUAACUGUGCACAUCUUGACGGUACCUAAUCAGAAAGCCACGGCUAACUACGUG